UUUACAUGGAUCAUGAGAAUAAAAAAUGCACAGAUAAGCAAUUAUUUUUAUUGUUGAAUCUGAAAAAGAAGGGAAAGGAAGGUGGGAUGCGGUGGUUCACACCUGUAAUCCUAGCACUGUGGGCUCACUGCAACUCUGCCUCCCUGGUUCAAGCAAUUCUCCUGCCUCAGCCUUCCGAGUAGCUGGGACUACAGGCGUGCACCACCACACCCGGCUAAUUUUUUGUAUUUUUAAUAGAGACGUGUAUGACUUAACACUGCCUAAAAUAUGUUGGGAAAAAAAUGUGAACUAAAAAAGACAAAUCAGAUAAAAAAUUGAGGCAUUAACUGGUAGUUAGGUGUGUCCAGUUUUUUCUCUGCUGUGUUUGAAUCUAUUUUUCUUUUCCCUAAUUUAGU
rnacentral:lncRNA from 1 species